CCCACACCAGCCCCAGCCAGGCUCCACACCCUCAGCCCCACCCUGGCCAGGGCGCGGCGCCCCACACAGUAGAACACUUCCGGCCACAACUCCACUCAGGGCCCCACACCAGCCCCAGCCAGGCUCCACACCCUCAGUCCCACCCUGGCCAGGGCGCGGCGCCCCACACAGUAGAACACUUCCGGCCACGACUCCACUCAGGGCCCCACACCAGCCCCAGCCAGGCUCCACACCCUCAGAGAUGGCAGAAUAAAAGAAAACUGAGUAUUAGACAUCUGGUGAGCUGCAGGAAGGGUUGGGGGCGAGGCUGUGUAUAUAUGGCUAAAAGUGUUUGCAAGACACUCCACCAUAACACUGGGAUCACUAACUGUUGACCCGUGCCCCAUCAGGACGUCAUUGUCUCCAGUCGUGUGGUCCAGUGAGUCACCGCUCUACCGCACGACAGUGACCCCAAGGAAGUCCCGGUCCACAGCAGGGAUGUGGCCACCCCUGGCCACAGCCCCAAGUGUUCCCUGGUGGGCCAUACUCACUGAGCUCCUCCUCCUCCUCCUCCUCCUCACCCUGCUGCCGUGGAAGGACAUGAAUGAACCCACAAACCUCUGGUCCAGGAGUCACCACAGCUGUCAGCAGAACAACUUGGAGCGUCCGCCCUUCCUGCCACCAGUGGUCGGAGACUCUCUCUUCACCACACGGUCUGCAUGUCAGCAAGGCACUACAUCGGACUCCACUACAACCUCCACAACCUCUACGGACUGUCAGAGACGAGUGCCACCAGUGCAUAAGUCUAUGAUGCUCAGAGUUUUAGGU